CGGCCUUUUGGCUAAGAUCAAGUGUAGUAUCUGUUCUUAUCAGUUUAAUAUCUGAUACUGUAGUAUCUGUUCUUAUCAGUUUAAUAUCUGAUACGUCCUCGAUGAGAGGACUUUAUAUUAAACGGAUUUUUGGGCGUGGGA